CCUACGGGAGGCAGCAGUGAGGAAUAUUGGUCAAUGGACGAGAGUCUGAACCAGCCAAGUAGCGUGAAGGAUGACUGCCCUAUGGGUUGUAAACUUCUUUUAUAUGGGAAUAAAAUGUUCCACGUGUGGGAUUUUGUAUGUACCAUAUGAAUAAGGAUCGGCUAACUCCGUGCCAGCAGCCGCGGUAAUACGGAGGAUCCGAGCGUUAUCCGGAUUUAUUGGGUUUAAAGGGUGCGUAGGUGGAUUGUUAAGUCAGUUGUGAAAGUUUGCGGCUCAACCGUAAAAUUGCAGUUGAAACUGGCAGUCUUGAGUAGAGGAGAGGUAGGCGGAAUUCGUGGUGUAGCGGUGAAAUGCUUAGAUAUCACGAAGAACUCCGAUUGCGAAGGCAGUUCACUGGACUGAAACUGACACUGAGGCUCGAAAGUGUGGGUAUCAAACAGGAUUAGAUACCCGGGUAGUC
rnacentral:rRNA from 1 species